UCCUACGGGAGGCAGCAGUGGGGAAUCUUGCGCAAUGGGCGAAAGCCUGACGCAGCAACGCCGCGUGAGUGAUGAAGGUCUUCGGAUCGUAAAGCUCUGUCGGCAGGAAAGAAGGGUAACGUGGCCAAUAUCCCACGGGACCUGACGGUACCUGCAAAGGAAGCACCGGCUAACUCUGUGCCAGCAGCCGCGGUA
rnacentral:rRNA from 1 species